GUUUUCUAUUUUGCCUUUCAAAAGAAAACGCUUUCUUUGUUUCUUUGAUUUAUAGUUUUUUUUACCAAUAAUUCUUUUCAUUUGUUAUUUUCUCAAUCAACAGUAGCUCUAUACGUGAAACAAACAAUCCAUAAACCGUUUGACGAAAUUUCGUUCACAUUCCAUUCAUUUAAUAAAUGAAUGAACAUGAACACAUUUUAUUCAUUUGAUUAAACGAACGAACAUGAACACAUAUUUUGUGCGUUCAGUUACGUUCGUAAUUUACGUUCAUUUGCAUUCGUCUAUGUUUAUUCCAUUAAGCAAAUCAAUAUGAAACGAAUGAUUGAUUAGGUACAAAUUUCCAUUUUACCGGUCGUCAGACUUUUUAUUUCUUCCAUUCUAUUUAUUUUUUUCUCCCAUUUUAAUUUCAUUUAAUUCUGGGCACGUGAAUUUAAUUAUUAAAAUAUAUUCAUACUUUUUUUACAGAUCGUGAACAGGAAAAUUAAAUAUGCACGUUGAUCCUAUUUGUUACUUAUAAUAAAUUUUUCAUAAGAGUGAGCAAAAUCAAUGGAGCCAAAUAAAAUUUCAAAAACAAAAGACAUGUGUAAACAUGAAUAUAUAAUAUUGUUUGUUGUGAUACUUUUAAAAACCCAAACCCUUUGUGUUAAGCAUUGUUUGUUGGCUAAACAUCAGUGUACAGUUACAUAUUAGCAACUAUUUGGAUUAGUUUUCAAGGAUUUGUUAAAGAAACAAGAUAUCUUGUUUUGUUAGAAAAACAAUACUGAAUCGAUUGAUUAAAAACAAUAGAUAGCUUUAUAUAAGAAUAAUUAUAUUAACAUUGAGUUCAUUGAAUAAGAAUAAUACCAAAGAAGGCUAAUAUGUUGGUUUAAGAAGAGACGCAAAUAAGAUUAAAUAAAAAACACUAUUUUAGUAAAUAGUUUUCAAGGAACACCAUUUUGGUAAAUAUUUUCUUCACCAACACUAGUUUGGUUAAAAACUCCGCAUCAUAUAAGCCUAUACGAUGCGUAUUAGGUUGUCUAUCAAACCUGACAGAUAGGGUUCAAAUGCAAACCCUAUACGGAUCGUAUAUGUCUAUACGAUCCGUAUUAUAGUACGUGUUGGAUCAGUUCUGUUUAAACAUAAUGGAAAACAUGAAUAAUACCUGUUACAGCAGAUAACCCAGCAGAGAAUCCAGUCAGGGAUGCAGCCAUCGAGUUAGUCAUGAUUGUUAGGAUGAUCUGGUUCCUCCUUAGGGUGUAAGUUAUGAUGGUGAUGAAACCGAAACUAGGGUGAGAAUCGGUUAUAGGGAGAGAGCCGAAUUCUUUGAUGUUAUGAGGGUUGUGAUUGUGUAAUGUGUGUAACCCUUUAACUCUCUAAUAAGCCCCUUAUUUAUACACCCAAGAGGAAACCCAAUUAGUUAAUAAGGGUAAUAUGGUCCAUCAACAAUUACCAACUAAUUAUUAAUAGGUUAAUAAAUAUAUUUUGAUCUAAUAUAAUAUAAAUGAUUAUAUAGGCUACAAGAUUAAAUAUUACAUUUAUAUAUUUAAUCUCACAUUCUCCCACUUAGCCAAGUAAUCAUUUAUCAUGAGUAUUAGGUA
rnacentral:lncRNA from 1 species